GCCCGGCCUGGCCGGAGCGCCUCGGCGCCACCGCGCGUGCGCCGGAAGCCAAGGCAACUGCUUUGUCCUCCCGGAAGAAGCUUGGGGUUGGCAAUGCAAACCUCACUCCAAGCAGCAUUGUGGUGUGAGGCUCAUUCUCGGAGAGGCGCCUGUCAAAGAUGCACUGCUGGGCAAGGCUUAUGCCCAAAUGACCUCCUUCUGGCCUGUGAUCACUGCCAGCUCUGCAGACCUGGUUCCCUCCUGAAUGAAGCUGCUGCCGUCACUAUGGAGAUCUGUAUUUCUGUGCUUACAACUGUAGCUGUUUUGAGGGUGUAAGAUCCAGCGGACUACAGUGUGGACCCACCAUCUUCAUCAACCAGCUCCAGAAGUUUCUCAUCGACUCCAGAUGAAAUUGCUUUCAUUAAGGGAUAACUUUGUGUUUUCUGUGUCAGCCUCUGGGCACAUCUACUCUACAUUCUGUCUGCAUGUGUUUGCGUCUUCUGGGUAAUUCACAAACAGAUCCAUGCACUGUCUUUUCUUUGGUGUUUAGCUUCUUUCGUUGUCUUCAAGGUUCACUUAUGCUAGAGCAUGUGUGUAAAUUUCCUUGGCAUUAAUGCUACCACAGAUAUGGGUAUAACACAUGUAUUAACCUAUAGAGACCAGAUUUUCAACAAAGAAACCAAAAAAAUAUACAAUGGAAAAAAAGAAAGCAUCUUCAACAAAUGGUGCUGGCUUAACUGGAUGCCGGCAUGUAGAAGAAUGCAAAGAGAUCCAUAGCUGUCACCCUGCCCAGGUCAGUCCCAUGCAGCUCCCUGGUUGUCGGUUCAGUCUCUGUGAGCCCCUAGGAGCCCAGGUUAGUAGAUGCUGUGAGUUUCUUGUGGUGUCCUUGACCCCUCUGUCUCCUACAAUCCUGUCCCCUACUCUUCUGCAGGAUGCCCCAGACUCCGUCUAAUGUUGGGCUGUGGUCAGCAUCUGUUUCCAUCAGUUGGUGGCUGAAGCCUCUUUGAGGACACCACGGGCUAGGCACCAAUCUGUUCGUAGGAGAUGGCCAGUUCAGGCUACAUAUCCGCUCUUACAAGGACUCUUAGCUGGGGUCAUCCUCAUAGAUUCCCGGAGAUUCCCUUGCUCCAGGUUUUAACCUGAAAUUCCUCUCCCCUUUCCAGCAGUCUCCUUCAGUACUCUACCCCCUGCCAAAUCUCAUCGUUCAUGCUCCCAUCCCCACCCACCCUCUGUUCACUAAUGAAAUCUCUUCUGUUUCCCCUCCCAGGGACAUCCCCUCAUAAACCUCCUUGUUACCUAGUCUCUCUGGGUUUGUGGAUUCUAUCAUAUUGUCCUUUAUGUUAGAGCUAAUAUCCACCAAUAAGUGAGCACAUCACAUGCUUGUCUUUCUCAGUCUGGGUUACCUCACUCAGGAUGAUUUUU